rnacentral:piRNA from 1 species
UUGGAGCAGAGGGUUGUAUUCCAAGACCA